UACAGAGGGUGCGAGCGUUGUCCGGAAUCACUGGGCGUAAAGGGCGCGUAGGCGGCCCCAUAACGCGUGCCGUGAAAGCCCGGGGCUCAACCCCGGGUCGGCGGUGCGAACGGGGGGGCUGGAGCCGAUCAGAGGCGGGCGGAAUUCUGGGGGGAGCGGUGGGAUGCGGAGAGAUCCGGAAGAACACCGGGGGCGAAGGCGGCGCGCUGGGAUCGAGCUGACGCUGAGGCGCGACAGCGUGGGGAGCAAACAGG
rnacentral:rRNA from 1 species